rnacentral:rRNA from 1 species
GAUGAACGCUGGCGGCGUGCCUAAUACAUGCAAGUCGAGCGAACAGACGAGGAGCUUGCUCCUCUGACGUUAGCGGCGGACGGGUGAGUAACACGUGGAUAACCUACCUAUAAGACUGGGAUAACUUCGGGAAACCGGAGCUAAUACCGGAUAAUAUAUUGAACCGCAUGGUUCAAUAGUGAAAGACGGUUUUGCUGUCACUUAUAGAUGGAUCCGCGCCGCAUUAGCUAGUUGGUAAGGUAACGGCUUACCAAGGCAACGAUGCGUAGCCGACCUGAGAGGGAGGAGGGACGCACGGGAGAGGAGAAAGGUGACGAACUCCGGGAGGGAGACGCGGGAGGGAAUCUUACGGGAUGGGCGAGUGGGGAAUAGAGGAAAAUCGGCGAAAGGAUGAAGGAGUUCGGAACGGAGAAUUCUGUAAGUAUGAGAGAAGUAAUGUGCAAUUAACUGUGAACAUCAUGACAGUACCGGGAGAGAAAGCCACGGCUAACUACGUA